AAUUAACAACUCUCGUAAAUCUGUAUUUGAUAACUUUACUCCAACACCAAAUAUUGUCCUCAACACUUCUCUAUGUGUGUUACUAUGUGUACAAUCAAUGAAUGUAUAGAUGUCAUCCUUAUGAGGCAUACCAGAGAGCUUAACUACAUAAUUAUUACACCAAAACAGAAAAGAUAGGAGGACUUACCCGUAUCCUGGGCUUACUUAUGAAACUCCAGUAGAGUGGAUCUCCAGAAGAGAUCCUUCCCCACUGGUAGUCAGCUCUUAAAUGGGUCUAGAGAGGUGCAGCCAGGCUUCACCCCUUCCUGCAGCACAGGUGAAUUGCUUUCACCUGUGCUCCCGUGGCUGACUCAUUGCUCGCCUCAGGUGAUCAAUCAGAGGUUCAGGCCGUGAUUCAGCAGUUCUCAUAUAGUAUCCAAGAUACACACCUACUUAUGAAGAACAGUGCAUUGUAAUACAGAGGCAAUGAAAGAUGGGUCAAACCUAGUGGAAGCUAAGCCAAGGGAAGUAGUAAACUAUUCCCUGCUUCCCAGUGGUCUUGCGUGCAGGAACUUAAUGAAGCUCGAUCUUCUGAUCACUUCCAAUACAGGGAGAUCGCUGACAAUCUGGGAAAGCUGGGCAGAAGUUUGAGCUCUUGCUUCGGGAGUGAAUGGCCAAAGUCCCUGCGUGCCUCCAAGAAUUUGCCUCCAUGCAGCUUUCUGAUCUCCAGGAUCUACGCCCACUCCCAGGAUCUUUUCUUCAAACAGGAUCUUCACCUUCUUUCCAGGUCCCUUUUUUUCCAACACUUCUUUUUGGGAAGCCUUCUUAUUGGCCUCCUCUUUCUUCUAGCAUCCCAAACCUCUGAUUUUUGCAAUCUAAAUAGUCUAAUGCAGAAGCAUGACACAUGACCAGCCUCCUCACUUCUUCGCUCUGUCUCAGGCCUGUUUAUUUAUUGGAGAAUUUGGGACAAUAAUUGGAAGAUCUAUGAUGUGUCACUAUUUUUCAGUCUAAAUGUUAUCAAAACUUACAACCACAGUGUAACAAUAGUAGCUAGCAAGUAGCAGGCUUCUGCUUAAGAGCCUGAAAGUUCAAUUUCAGACAUUCCCCCUACACACACAAUUAUCUGUCAAAUGCUUACAUUCAAAGUUUAACCUCUUUUUUCACAUAAGAUACAGAAAAAACUGUCAGCCAUGUUGAGACAAACUGAACUCUGCAGAUCAUUUCCACAUAUAAGCCAUGUAUCCCAAGAGACCAGCAUGAUAACUGGCUUAGGUAAUGUGUCAUCCUCUACUCUUAGUUAACUCCCCGCACGUGCUCUGGAAUCAGUUCAAAAUAAAGAAAAAUGACCUUAAUGCA
rnacentral:lncRNA from 1 species